AAAUUGAAGAGUUUGAUCAUGGCUCAGAUUGAACGCUGGCGGCAGGCCUAACACAUGCAAGUCGAACGGUAACAGGAAGCAGCUUGCUGUUUCGCUGACGAGUGGCGGACGGGUGAGUAAUGUCUGGGAAACUGCCUGAUGGAGGGGGAUAACUACUGGAAACGGUAGCUAAUACCGCAUAACGUCGCAAGACCAAAGAGGGGGACCUUCUGGCCUCUUGC
rnacentral:rRNA from 1 species